UCGGGAGUGAAGAGUCUCUGUGCUGUACUGGAGGAUCCUCACUGUAAACUGGAGAAACUGUGGUUGUAUAAUUGUGGCGUCACAGAUGAAGGUUGUUCUGCUCUGGCUUCAGCUCUGAGAUCAAACCCCUCACAUCUGAGAGAACUGGAUCUGUCUCUGAAUAAUAAUCUAGGAGACUCGGGAGUGAAGCGUCUCUGUGCUGGACUGGAGGAUCCUCACUGUAAACUGGAGAAACUGUGGGGUGGACUGGCCAUCUGGAGGU